rnacentral:rRNA from 1 species
CCUUGUACACACCGCCCGUCACACCAUGGGAGUCCGGUAACACCCAAAGUUGGUAGCCUAACCGCAAGGAGGGCGCCGCCUAAGGUGGGAUUGAUGACUGGGGUGAAGUCGUAACAAGGUAGC